CGAUUCAUGCCGCGUGCAGGAAGAAGGCCUUCUGGGUUGUAAACUGCUUUUGCCAGGGGCUAAAAAGCUCAUGCGUGAGAAAUUGAAAGUACCUGGUGAAUAAGCCACGGCUAACUACGUGCCGGCAGCCGCGGUAAUACGUAGGUGGCAAGCGUUGUCCGGAUUUAUUGGGUUUAAAGGGUGCGUAGGCGGCUUUGUAAGUCAGUGGUGAAAUAUGGCAGCUUAACUGUCAGGGUGCCAUUGAUACUGCAGAGCUUGAGUACAGAUGAGGU
rnacentral:rRNA from 1 species